AAAGAACUUAAGUACCUUGUAAGUGAUCAGGAAAGAAGAGUUUCUCAAUUUGAUGAGGAGUGAUCUCAUCCAAGCACCUUUUGAUGGCCUACCGCCUGGAACAGUCCGCUUUGGCUGCCACAUCGUCUAAACUUCUCAUAUGAAUGAAAAGCCCCUUAGUUCUCCCAGAUGGAGAAUCAUUUAAUUAGAUGAGGGGCUUCUUUCUUUUUUUCUGAAUUGAUGAAUAAGGUAUGUAACAGAUGGUUGCUUUGUCAAUUUUCAUGUGUACAAACUGUAUCUUCCUAUCACUAAGUUUUACCCUGUUUGGAUUCUGUA